rnacentral:lncRNA from 1 species
GUACCAAAAAAAAAAUGUAUGAAGAAAAAUAUGGUUAUAGUCUAUGAAAGGAAUAAAUCAGUAUAGAGAAGGGUUCAAUUUAGGGGUGAAAAGCCUCGAUGUCAUUCUCAAAGACGGUUCUGUCCACAUUACGCUGUCAGUGCGAUGCAUGUUCCAUAAAUAUCCUAACGGUAUUUUACAGAGCUUGGCAAACUAGUUCUAAAAUUCAUAUGGAAAAGCGACGGCCUAAGCAAGGUUUUGAUGAUUCUAACUGAUACCAAGACUCUUUUGAAAGCGAUAGUAAUUAAAACAAUGUGGUAUUGGUGCCGGCUAGACAAAGAGAUCAAUAGAAUAGAGAAACGGUUCCAAGCAUGUGUGGGAAUUUGAUUUAUGAUGGUGGUGGCAUUGCAAGUCCAAGGGAGAGAACAGACUAUUCAAUAAACAGUGUUGAGACAUUUGGCUUUUCAUAUAAAGACUUCAUAUCCAUUAAUAUUAAUCCCAAAUGGACUAAAGAUGUGAAAGUGAAAAACAAAAUUUUAAGAGAAAAUGUAGGAGAUCCAGGGUUGGAAAGCAGUUCUUAUACAAGAGACCUAACUCGGCAAGAUUGAGUGAUCUUAUUACAUUACUUCCCCCAAAUCUCUCAGCUAUGAGAACAGCCUUAGGAAUAACUCGAAAAGACACAUAGCAACCUGGAUGGUGGUGUUGAGAUCCAUGAGACAGCCAUAAGGAUUGGUAUCUGGAAUCUAUGAAACUGUUGGAAAUCAGUAAGGAAAGGACAGGCCUUUUGAGUGCCAUUCGGAAUGGCAACCCUCCCCUUCUUCCUCCAUCCCAGGCUUCUGAUCUAAUUCAAGGGCUUGGGCUUUGAGGGAGGGUGGGUCUUCCUUAGCCCCAUCAUCGAACUGUGAUUGGUCUAAAUAUAGCAGUCAGUUUGUUCCUCUGGUCAAUGAUUGGUCCAGGUGUAGACAUGUAUUCAAUUCUAGUCACCAAGACAGGAAGGGAGAUAGACUCUCUGGUACCAGUGGGAAAGGCACUUUGACUGUGGCCUCUGAUUGUGGUCACCUGUACCUGCACAUGACAGUCGUCUUGGGGCCAUGUGGAGGCCACUGUAAGAAGCAAGCCAACACAAUGAAGGUGGUAGUACCCUCAUGAAAGGAACAUGGAAAAGAAAGGAGGGAGAAUCCACUUCUUGAUAUCACAGUUGAGUCUCUGAAUUGAGCAACUCAAGGACUUCCUGACAUGUAAGGUACUCUAUUUUGCUUAAACCACCUCUAUAGUGGCACCUCGGUUCACAAAUUUAAUUCUUUCCACAAUUCUGGUCACAAACUGAAUUGGACAAGAACAGAAUCGAAUUCAAUGGUUAGGUUCAAUGUUGACCUUACAGGAAAGUUGGAUUUGCUUCUUGUCUUAUUUGGUUUAUGACCAGAAUUGUGGAAAGAAUUAAGUUCAUGAACCGAGGUACCACUGUACUUGGGCUUUCUGUAGCUUCUACUUAAAGUGACCACAGGCUAACAAAGGGUAUGGACAUCAGUGAGAAUCCAGAGGAAGCCGGGUGACCAGAGAGCAGGUCAAGACACUUGACAUCACAGGUAGGGAGGCAGAUUCCAAUGAGUCUGCUUCACAUGCAUCGGGCUGGUGAAAAUAAGUCUAGCAAGAGCAAGUGUUGGCAACGGUGUGGCCAGAGCAGACCUCUCUGUCCCCUUCUCCCUUUCCCUCCCUCUCCCUCCUCCCUCUUUUUUUUUUUUUAGACCAGGUCUUGCAAUGUAGUCCAGACUGGCCUUGAACUCAUGAUCUUCCUGCCUCAGCCUCUUGCAUGCUGGAAUUAUAGGUGUGCGUCACCAUACCCACCUCUAAACAAAGCAAUCUUGUUCAAAUGGUGGUGGUGGGAAGAUAAAUGGGUUCAGUGCUGAAGUGAGUAGUUUGGCAGUACUAGGCAGGGAGGAACCCUACCCUGCUACCCCAGAUUUCUGCUCCUGGGCAGACACCCUAAAGAUGAGUCUAGAGCUCAGGCUGAGGGUGCUCAAUGCAGCUCUGCUCACAAUAGCAAACAGCAAAACAGGAACAACCUAAACACCCAUCAGCAGAGGAACUGAUACAUAAACUGUGGCUGAUUCACAUGCUAAAAUAGUAAAUUAAAAUGGUCAAGCCAAAGCCAUAAGUGUCACCGUGGCUCCCUUGUAAAAAACAUAUCAACACUCAGGAGGCUGAGGCAAAAGGAUUGCCCUGAGUUUGAGGCCAACCUGGGCUACAUAGCAACACCAAAAAACAAAACAAAACAAAAUAAAAAUAGAGUGGGAAAAGGUACAGAAUGGUACAUGUAGUAUGAUGCUUGUUACAUAAACUAAAAAUAUAGAAAGCACUGCUGCUUUAUGAAUAUUUAAAUGUACAGGAAAAAUAAGAAAUUAUGGGCUCUACUUUAAAAAGAGGAACAUCCGGACACAUGCCACUGCAUACCUGAACUGUGAAGACAUCAUGUGAAGCAAGAAGAUGGGUCUGAAGAAAAACUGCCUGGAAGUGUCGGAUUUCUCAUCCCACUCUUCACCCUCAAGGUCACCCGAAGUGCAAAGGACAAGUAUGGCAGAACCAAGAGCAGAUGGCCUGGAGGCUGCACGUGUGGCGGACACUGGGGUAGAGGAGCAGAGCCUGGUGCAGCCAGUUGGGAUGGGAGACAGCGGGCAGGAUCCUCUUCUGAUGACACAGGUCAGAUGGGCAAGGGCUGGCAGAAGAUGCUGACUCUGACUCGCCUGUGUUGGCAUACGCCUGUCAUCCCAGCUACUGGGGAGGGAGGCUGAGGCAGGAGGAUUGCAAGUUUGAGGCCAGCCUGGGCAAUUUAUGGAGACCCUACUCCAAAAUAAAAAGGGCUAGGGAUGUAGCUCAGUGGUGGAGCAUUUGCCUACCGUGUGCAGGGUUCUGGGUUCAAACCCUAGUACCAAAAGAAAAAAAAAAAGGAAGAAGAAAGAAGAAGAGAUUUUUUAAAAGGAAAAAGGGCUGAGGAUAUAGCUCAGUGUUAAGGCGCUGGGUUCAAUCCGCAGUACAAAAAGGAAGAGAGAAAGAGAGAGAGAAGAAAGAAAGAAAGAAAGGAAGAAAGAAAGAAAGAAAGAAAGAAAGAAAGAAAGAAAGAAAGAAAGAAGAAUGGGAGAGGGUGGAAUAGGAGAAGGCAACAGGCCAGGUGUGGUGGUGCACUCCUGAAAUCCCAGCACUUGGGAGGCUGAGAUAGGAAGAUCAUGAUGAAUUCAAGGCCAGUCUCAAAAAAAAGAACUACUUGUAUCAAAAAAAAAAAGAAAAGAAAAGAGAAGCAAAGGCCAAAAUCCAAAAAACAAAAAGAUGACUGGGAGCCAGCCCCUCUUGGGCACCCAAUACAUAAGAUCCAGAGAGCAGAUGAAAAUAGAAACUAUCAAAACACUGAAAAGUGUAUUAUUAGCAGUUGGAGCAGGCAGUAGAAAGAGUUCGUUGAAUUUGCUGAUGGCAGAACACAUUGCCUAAUCUUUGCAGUUCUUUUUUCCUUUUCCCUUGACCUCCCUGCACGUCUCCGGAGCUCCCAUGGCUACGGCUGUCUGCACUGCAAAAUACAUAUUUACAGGCCUUCUAAGCCCGGCUAAAUAUAGGCUUUCCUCUACAGCAACUGAUGAUUUGAAGAAAUUUCUUCUCUCUCCCACCCUUUCCCCCAACCCCCAACACACACGCACUCAUGCGCGCGCGCACACACACACACGCACGCACGCACGCACGCACGCACGAAUGCACACAUGUUCACGGGCCCCGACUCCCUCUCAGUCACCCGCCUGGUCUCCAAGGUGCAUCCAAACUUUCCCAGAGCCCUGGAGUGCAGUGGGGAGACUGAUGGAAGGAAGGGGACAAACCAGCAAGAACGGGGAGCAGGCGGUCUCCCCUCUGUGAGAGCACC